AGAGUUUGAUCCUGGCUCAGGACGAACGCUGGCGGCGUGCCUAAUACAUGCAAGUAGAACGCUGAUGUUUGGUGUUUACACUAGACUGAUGAGUUGCGAACGGGUGAGUAACGCGUAGGUAACCUGCCUCAUAGCGGGGGAUAACUAUUGGAAACGAUAGCUAAUACCGCAUAAGAGUAAUUAACACAUGUUAGUUAUUUAAAAGGAGCAAUUGCUUCACUGUGAGAUGGACCUGCGUUGUAUUAGCUAGUUGGUGAGGUAAAGGCUCACCAAGGCGACGAUACAUAGCCGACCUGAGAGGGUGAUCGGCCACACUGGGACUGAGACACGGCCCAGACUCCUACGGGAGGCAGCAGUAGGGAUGGACGGAAGUCUGACCGAGCAACGCCGCGUGAGUGAAGAAGGUUUUCGGAUCGUAAAGCUCUGUUGUUAGAGAAGAACGUUGGUAGGAGUGGAAAAUCUACCAAGUGACGGUAACUAACCAGAAAGGGACGGCUAACUACGUGCCAGCAGCCGCGGUAAUACGUAGGUCCCGAGCGUUGUCCGGAUUUAUUGGGCGUAAAGCGAGCGCAGGCAGUUCUUUAAGUCUGAAGUUAAAGGCAGUGGCUUAACCAUUGUACGCUUUGGAAACUGGAGGACUUGAGUGCAGAAGGGGAGAGUGGAAUUCCAUGUGUAGCGGUGAAAUGCGUAGAUAUAUGGAGGAACACCGGUGGCGAAAGCGGCUCUCUGGUCUGUAACUGACGCUGAGGCUCGAAAGCGUGGGGAGCAAACAGGAUUAGAUACCCUGGUAGUCCACGCCGUAAACGAUGAGUGCUAGGUGUUAGGCCCUUUCCGGGGCUUAGUGCCGCAGCUAACGCAUUAAGCACUCCGCCUGGGGAGUACGACCGCAAGGUUGAAACUCAAAGGAAUUGACGGGGGCCCGCACAAGCGGUGGAGC
rnacentral:rRNA from 1 species